rnacentral:rRNA from 1 species
AUUGAACGCUGGCGGCAGGCCUAACACAUGCAAGUCGAGCGGAUGAAGGGAGCUUGCUCCUGGAUUCAGCGGCGGACGGGUGAGUAAUGCCUAGGAAUCUGCCUGGUAGUGGGGGAUAACGUCCGGAAACGGGCGCUAAUACCGCAUACGUCCUGAGGGAGAAAGUGGGGGAUCUUCGGACCUCACGCUAUCAGAUGAGCCUAGGUCGGAUUAGCUAGUUGGUGGGGUAAAGGCCUACCAAGGCGACGAUCCGUAACUGGUCUGAGAGGAUGAUCAGUCACACUGGAACUGAGACACGGUCCAGACUCCUACGGGAGGCAGCAGUGGGGAAUAUUGGAGAAUGGGCGAAAGCCUGAUCCAGCCAUGCAGCGUGUGUGAAGAAGGUCUUCGGAUUGUAAAGCACUUUAAGUUGGGAGGAAGGGCAGUAAGUUAAUACCUUGCUGUUUUGACGUUACCAACAGAAUAAGCACCGGCUAACUUCGUG